rnacentral:rRNA from 1 species
GACAGAGGGGGCAAGCGUUGCUCGGAAUCACUGGGCGUAAAGGGCGCGUAGGCGGGAUGGCAAGUCAGUCGUGAAAUCUCUCGGCUCAACCGAGAAACGUCGGCUGAUACUGCCGUUCUUGAGGGAUGCAGAGGAGACUGGAAUUCCCGGUGUAGCGGUGAAAUGUGUAGAGAUCGGGAGGAACACCAGUGGCGAAGGCGACUGCCUGGACCGUGGCUGACGCUGAGGCGCGAAAGCGUGGGGAGCAAACAGG